rnacentral:rRNA from 1 species
GAUGAACGCUGGCGGCGUGCCUAAUACAUGCAAGUCGAGCGAACAGACGAGGAGCUUGCUCCUCUGACGUUAGCGGCGGACGGGUGAGUAACACGUGGAUAACCUACCUAUAAGACUGGGAUAACUUCGGGAAACCGGAGCUAAUACCGGAUAAUAUAUUGAACCGCAUGGUUCAAUAGUGAAAGACGGUUUUGCUGUCACUUAUAGAUGGAUCCGCGCCGCAUUAGCUAGUUGGUAAGGUAACGGCUUACCAAGGCAACGAUGCGUAGCCGACCUGAGAGGGUGAUCGGCCACACUGGAACUGAGACACGGUCCAGACUCCUACGGGAGGCAGCAGUCGGGAAUCUUCCGCAAAGGGCGAAAGCCUGACGGAGCAACGCCGCGUGAGUGAUGAAGGUCUUCGGAUCGUAAAACUCUGUUAUUAGGGAAGAACAAAUGUGUAAGUAACUAUGCACGUCUUGACGGUACCUAAUCAGAAAGCCACGGCUAACUACGUG